AAAGAAGAAGAAAAAAAAAGUAAUGGAAAAAGGAUAAAGAGCACAGAUCA
rnacentral:sRNA from 1 species